CUUAUUUUUUAAGAGUGACGGGCGAUAUGUGCAUCUCAAAUUUCUAUAUCCAAUUAAAAUUUUUGUUGUUAAUUUAUUAUUAAGUUCUGUCUAACCUCGCUUAAUGUUUAAGCAUAUUUUUAAUUGUAUCCCAUUUUCCCUUCUAUAUUUUCUUUGUCUUGAUUUGCCUUUUAACGAUAAAGUUUUCUAAUGAUUCAUUCAUUUUUUUAUUUUUAAGCAAUGAUAUAAAAGAUAAAAAUUGAAGUUCAAUUAAUCGUGGGUUGUCGGUCUAUGAUCUCAGGAUCCCCUACCUAGUUUUGAGACCGCCGUUAUAUUUAGAUUUUACUUCUAGAGCUACUAUCUAAUUUUGUUUUAAAA
rnacentral:rRNA from 1 species